GAUGAACGCUGGCGGCGUGCCUAAUACAUGCAAGUCGAGCGAACGGACGAGAAGCUUGCUCCUCUGAUGUUAUCGGCGGACGGGUGAGUAACACGUGGAUAACCUACCUAUAAGACUGGGAUAACUUCGGGAAACCGUAGCUAAUACCGGAUAAUAUUUUGAACCGCAUGGUUCAAAAGUGAAAGACGGUCUUGCUGUCACUUGUAGAUGGAUCCGCGCUGCAUUAGCUAGUUGGUAAGGUAACGGCUUACCAAGGCAACGAUGCAUAGCCGACCUGAGAGGGUGAUCGGCCACACUGGAACUGAGGCACGGUCCAGACUCCUACGGGAGGCAGCAGUAGGGAAUCUUCCGCAAUGGGCGAAAGCCUGACGGAGCAACGCCGCGUGAGUGAUGAAGGUCUUCGGAUCGUAAAGCUCUGUUAUUAGGGAAGAACAUAUGUGUAAGUAACUGUGCACAUCUUGACGGUACCUAAUCAGAAAGCCACGGCUAACUACGUG
rnacentral:rRNA from 1 species